GAAUAAUUAAACUUGAUAUGGGAAGAACAAACUAUAACAAAAAAAAAAAAAAAUUCGUUGUGAAUGAAUAAAUAUUUAACACAAAGUAAAGCCACAAACGAGGUAAACAGUCUUCACAGACAGAGUCAGCGACGUCGUCGCGUCACUAUUUUGCGACCAAAUAAAGUGCUGAAAAGAAAAAAAUAACCUUACGCGUCGCGGCACUUGCGGAUUCCCAGGCUGCGCGUGCACGUGAGCGGCGCUCUUCGGCUCCUCGCGCUCGAGCCUCAUGAAUUACGUCUUGACGCGAACUUCUCAAACAAAGACAGGAGAUAAGAGUUCUAAGGAAACUCUGCACACCCCCCGCAACACGAAUACAGACCCCAAUGCUGGGCAGACA